rnacentral:rRNA from 1 species
GGUGACCUCGGAUCAGGUAGGAAUACCCGCUGAACUUAA